GACGAACGCUGGCGGCGUGCUUAACACAUGCAAGUCGAACGGAAAGGCCCUGCUUUUGUGGGGUGCUCGAGUGGCGAACGGGUGAGUAACACGUGAGUAACCUGCCCUGGACUUUGGGAUAACUUCAGGAAACUGGGGCUAAUACCUGAUAGGAGCUCCUGCUGCAUGGUGGGGGUUGGAAAGUUUCGGCGGUUGGGGAUGGACUGGGGGGUUAUCAGCUUGUUGGUGGGGUAGUGGCUUACCAAGGCUUUGUCGGGUAGCCGGCCUGGGAGGGUGACCGGCCACAUUGGGACUGAGAUACGGCCCAGAGUCCUACGGGAGGCAGCAGUGGGGAAUAUUGAACAAUGGGCGGAAGCCUGAUGAAGCAACGCCGCGUGCGGGAUGACGGCCUUCGGGUUGUAAACCGCUUUCGCCUGUGACGAAGCGUGAGUGACGGUAAUGGGUAAAGAAGCACCGGCUAACUACGUG
rnacentral:rRNA from 1 species